CCGUAGGUGAACCUGCGGAAGGAUCAUUACCGAGUGCGGGAACCCAGUCGGGUCCCAAUCUCCCACCCGUGUCUACCACACCUAGUGUUGCUUUGGCGGGCCCACUCCUCCGGUGUUCCGCCGGGGGGGUCGUCCCGGGGCGCGGUGUGCCCCCGGGGCCCGUGCCCGCCAGAGGCACUCACUGUGAACGCUUUUGUGAAUGCGAGGAUUGUCUGAGUGACGAAAUGCAAUCGUUCAAAACUUUCAACAAUGGAUCUCUUGGUUCCGGCAUCGAUGAAGAACGCAGCGAAAUGCGAUAAGUAAUGUGAAUUGCAGAAUUCCGUGAAUCAUCGAAUCUUUGAACGCACAUUGCGCCCUCUGGUAUUCCGGGGGGCAUGCCUGUCCGAGCGUCAUUGCGAACCCUCAAGCACGGCUUGUGUGUUGGGCCGCCGUCCCCUCGUUUGGAGGGGACGGGCCUGAAAGGCAGCGGCGGCGUCGCGUCCGGUCCUCGAGCGUAUGGGGCUCUGUCACGCGCUCAAGGAGGGGUCCGGCCGGGGCCAUAGCCUCUGAAGGUCAAUUCUUCCAAGGUUGACCUCGGAUCAGGUAGGAGUACCCGCUGAACUUAAGCAUAUCAAUAAGCGGGAGGAA
rnacentral:rRNA from 1 species